rnacentral:lncRNA from 1 species
AAUUUUCUAUUUGAGAGAACCUCCACUUUUCUGCCACCAAAUUGUCAUGGAGCUCAUUACCUCCAAUGAGAUGAGCAAUGAUGUGGAAUAAACAGACCUCCCUGAGAAAAACUUGCCUGUCGGGGAUAGCACAUGAGAACAUGUGGGCUGAAGUCUCCCUGUGGCAGAGAGGGCAAAAUUAAAUCAAGGUCUCCUUGAUCCCGAGGACGUCAGCUCACCCGGCGUUGAUGGGAACACCGCACUGUGAUUCUCCACCCCCAGUCUAAAAGGACUUGUUCUUUGCACAGCUUUUGAAAGAAAGAGUAUGGCACCUUUGCAUUCUGGACAAUGGAUGGAGGUAACUCCAUGAAAAUCCCUGUGGAAAGUCCCACCUCUCCGUGCCAGCUUUACCUUCUGAUGCCUGCAGGCACUUCCCUGGGGAGAACAGGGCUACCUAAUUCUGAUCAGGUUGCCUUCCCAUGCACUCUAGCGGCAGCUGCACAGAAGAAAGUUGUCUGUGUCCUCCUAGGCUCAGCUUCCAAUACUGCUGAAGAGAAGACAGAGCCAGUGAAGAGUCACCCCCACAUCAGGUGGAAGCAUAAAAGUUACAGAACCAAAUGUUUCAAGCAGAGUCUGCGUCUAAUUCAUCACUGCUUGCCAGGCACAGCCCACAUAGUCCCGGUGGCAUCAAGCUGUAGAAGCAGGUCUGGCAUCAGCAUGUUCUGCAGAGCAGCGCUAGCUUCUGUCAGGAGCAGAUUGCUGGAGCUGAUGCUGGCUGGUAAUUCAAGUUGCACUUCUGCUGUGCAAGUAUCUGCAAGGUGA